UCCGGGAGCUCGGGUAAACGCGGGAUGAUGUUGUCGUCGAGGGGAGGAGUUGAGAGCGGAACCGAAUUAAAAACUGUACAGAUCUAAACCGUAAAGCUGCAUAGAAUUGGUUGCAGCGAUGGCGGGGGGCUAUGGCAGGAGCCUGCCGACGUAUUCUUCGUCACUGCCUGGCUCAAACCGCAAAGGUUCUAAGCGACGAAGCGCCGGGAAAUCUCCGCCAAUGUUUAGUUGGAGUUGGUUUGUGCGCCCUCGGACUUAUCUCACGCUCGCGUCGGUAGUGUUCACGUUCCUGUUUCUAUUCCAAGGUGGGUUCAUCGUGACGUCGAUUUCGAAGGCCACGAGGAAGAACCCAGGUCAGAAUUUGUCUAGCAUUUUGGAGUCGCAGUUGCGGAAGAAGGUGUUUGAGGGUAAGAGGAAUGGGUCGUCGGCGCACGUUGGGGAGGCUGUGGUGGAUAUCACCAUGAAGGCCUUGUAUGAUAGGAUUGCGUUCGACGAUCGCGAUGGUGGGGCGUGGAAGCAGGGCUGGGACGUCCGUUACGAUGGCCCCGAAUGGGAUGAGGAGAAGCUCAAGGUGUUUGUUGUGCCGCAUUCGCAUAAUGACCCCGGGUGGAUUCGCACCGUGGAGGAAUAUUAUCAGGAGCGCACUCGCCACAUCUUGGAUACCGUUGUUGCGUCUUUGCUCAAGGAUCCGCGCAGGAAAUUUAUCUGGGAAGAAAUGUCAUAUCUUGAGAGAUGGUGGCGAGACGCUACGCCACAAUCAAAAGAAGAUCUCAAACGCUUGGUCAAGUCCGGGCAACUGGAGAUUGUGGGCGGUGGUUGGGUGAUGAAUGAUGAAGCCAAUUCGCAUUAUUUCGCAAUUAUUGAGCAGAUGACAGCUGGUAAUCUUUGGCUUCUGGACAAUGUGGGGGUGGCGCCAAAGAAUUCGUGGGCAAUUGAUCCGUUUGGUCAUUCACCGACAAUGGCGUACCUCCUCCGGCGAAUGGGUUUCCACAACAUGCUAAUUCAAAGAACACACUACGAAGUGAAGAAAGAGCUGGCGUGGAACAAAAAUCUUGAGUUUAACUGGCGCCAAAGCUGGGACUUUGACAACUCAACCGACAUUUUCUGUCAUAUGAUGCCUUUCUACUCCUACGAUAUUCCCCAUACUUGUGGUCCCGAGCCAGGCGUUUGCUGCCAGUUUGAUUAUUGGCGGUCCCCCGGAAGGGCAGGGUACUGUCCGUGGAACAAGCAACCACAAACUAUCACCGACGAGAAUGUGAAGGAACGGGCAGAGCUUUUGUUGGACCAAUACCGGAAAAAAUCGGUUCUGUACCGUUCAAACACUCUUCUUGUGCCCUUGGGUGACGACUUUCGGUACAUUGAGAUGGCAGAAGCUGACCUUGCAUAUGAGAACUAUCAAAAGAUUUUUGAUUACGUUAAUAGUCAUCCUAAUCUCAAAGCUGAGCUGAAGUUUGGAACCCUCGAAGACUAUUUCAGCACAUUGAGGCAGGAAGCCACCAAAAAAACUACUACGAAAGAGUUCUCAAAUAGUCCUUUGAGUGUACCUGGGUUUCCAUCUCUUGCUGGUGAUUUUUUCACAUAUGCAGACAUUCAUCAAGACUACUGGAGCGGCUAUUAUGUGACCAGGCCGUUCUAUAAAGCAGUGGAUAGGGUUCUUGAGCAAACUCUUCGGGCGGCUGAUACCCUCUUCAUGCUCGCUAGGGCCUUUCAUGGGAAUGAGAUCGCAACUUUGUCUGGCGAUGUGCUUGAGCGGCAACGACGAAACUUGGCCCUGUUUCAGCACCACGAUGGGGUCACAGGCACGGCCAAAGACCAUGUGGUUGUUGACUAUGCCAACAAAAUGCACGAUGGCAUUGUAGAGCUGGAAAGCUUAAUGGCUGCCAGUGUCGGAGAAAUACUUGGCCAAAAGGUUCGCUCGACGCCUCACUUAUUCGAGUCUGUAGAGCUGAGAAAAAGCUAUGACAUGUUGCCAGUGAGUAAAGUGGUGGAGAUCAAGAACUUCAAAGUUCAACGCGUUGUGUUCUAUAAUCCUCUGGAGGAAACACUUCAGCAGGUGGCCAUGGUUAUGGUAGACAAUCCUGCAGUAUGUGUUUUCGAUUCCUUGGGCAAGCCUGUUCAAAGCCAGUUAAGCCCAGACUGGGGCGCAGGUAUCACCGCCUCCUUCACGUCGAAGAAUCAUCGGCUGCACUUCCCCGUUACGGUAUCGCCCUUGGGAUUGGCUACGUACCUCAUCACUGCGGACACUGACAACUGCGACACAGCUUCUUUAUCAAGUGUUUCUGUGUUCAACGAACCCAGAGAUUUCAUGUGUCCAGACCCUUAUCUGUGCACGUAUCACCCUGGCGGCCAUGAGCGAGUCUCAAUCAGCUCCUCACAACAGAGUCUCGUUUUCUCCACUCAGACAGGGCUAUUGAUGAGUCAUAAGAGCUCGAAUGGAAAUGAGUUGCCCGUUGAAGAGGAGAUUGCCAUGUACACUAGUCAAGGAAGCGGAGCGUAUUUGUUCCGCCCUCAAGGAGAAGCCGCUCCCCUUGUGCAAUCGGGUGGUCUCGUGCUCGUUUCGAAAGGGCCACUAGUGGAGGAAGUGCAUUCAGUGCCGAAGUUCAACACGCUUGCACCGCUGGUACGGUCAGCGCGCCUCUAUGCUGGGAAGACUAUCCAAGCUGCUUCGGCUGAGUUUGAAUACUACGUGGAUUUUGCUAGGAAUGAAUUCAAUGAUCGGGAAUUGAUAACUAGAUUUAAGACAGACCUCAACAACAAGCGCAUCUUUUACACUGACUUGAAUGGAUUUCAAACUAUGCGGCGGGAGACGUAUAGUAAGAUACCUUUGCAAGGGAACUACUACCCUAUGCCAUCGUUGGCCUUCUUGCAAUGCCCUGGAGGAAGACGCUUCUCAAUCCACAGCCGGCAGGCUUUGGGAGUGGCGAGCCUGCACAAAGGUGAGCUUGAAAUCAUGCUGGACAGGAGAUUGAUACACGACGAUAGCCGGGGCCUCGGACAGGGCAUCAUGGAUAACCGCCCCUCUCGUGUUGUGUUUCAGUUACUGGUUGAGCGGAACACGUCUUUUAGUUCGCCAGCUUCUGACUUUCAUUCCAAGGUGCCAUCGCUUCUCUCGCACCUCGUGAAUGACCAGCUCAAUUAUCCGGCUCACUUGUUUUUCGACACUCCGCAGCCGUUUACUAGCAUUCAAGCAACAACGCUAAACAAUGACAUGGAUACGAGUUUCGCACCACUGCGAAACAGCCUCCCUUGCGACCUGCACAUCGUCGCCAUGAAGACCCUGCGGCCGUCUCAGGCUUCUCCAGGCGAGGAUUACACCCAUGGCGUCCUAUUCCAUCGCCGUGGUGUGGACUCUAGCUACCCAAUGAGUGACUCCAUUACGUGUAGUACCAUGGAGAAGCAAGGCUUCGACGUCUUUACUCUCUUCUCCCCACAGAUUGACAUCACAAAGCUACGCAAAAGCUCCCUGUCCUUUGUUCAUACUGAUGGUCGGGAAGUCACACUGCAAAAAGAUGCAGCCCAUCGGAAGCUUGGUCUUGGGGGAGCAUUUGUAGGGCGCUCUGAGGGGCUUCUCGAUCUCAGCCCCAUGGAACUUCAAGCUUUCAAAUUUAAGAUAAAAUCUGUCGGGUAAAUUUGCCAGCAAUUCAGCGAUUUCACCAAUUCAAAAGUUUUACGCAGCAAAUGCUACAAACUCGUAACCCCCAAGCCCCCAAGCUCGUUAGUCUUCACCGAUGUCGGUACGCUUCUCUGAGCCCUUAUUGGCUAGAUGACGGAGCUGGGGAUGGAGCCCAACGGAGGAUCCUUCAAGUACAUCCUUCUAGUGACAAGCAGCACAGCCAGCCAGAGCAUUCCACGUCCUUUCCUGCGUAUUGAAAUGGCAGUUCUCGGGACCGUCUACAGAUUCUUUGCUAUGCAUCUGGAUCUACGUAGCUUCUAAUACCAUGGAUCCUACUAACAGAAACCAGAUCGAGUCCUAACUCUCCGUUACCUUCUCCGACACGCCAUGUUCCGUUCAGUUUCCACCCUUGAAUGUCCAGGCGAAGCCCAACAGAGCCAGAAGGGUGUUUGUGGUGCAGAUUGCAGGUCCUACGAACUUCAUCAAGCUGCAUAAUAAAGAGACUCGAACAGUUCAUUGAAAAUUUUAACAACCCUUUUAUGCUGUGAUUCUUAUCAUAUUUAUACAAUGGUAAACAAUUUUUAUUUUGUUUGAA